CCAGCAGCUGCGGUAAUUCCAGCUCCAAUAGCGUAUAUUAAUGUUGUUGCAGUUAAAAAGCUCGUAGUUGGAUUUCGAAUGGGAGCGGUGGGUCGGGUCCGCAAGGGCUCGUUACCUGUUUCGUCUCCGGUUCUUUUUCGGGAUGUUUUCUGGCGUGGCUGGCAUUGAGUUGUCGGUGGCGUCGGGCCCGUCGUUUACUGUGAACAAAUUAGAGUGUUCAAAGCAAGGUGUGUCUUGAAUACAUUAGCAUGGAAUAAUGAGAUAGGACUUUGGUGGUUUCGGUGAAAGCCGGAUAUUUUGUUGGUUUGCACGCCAAAGUAAUGAUUAAUAGGAGCAGUUGGGGGUAUUCGUAUUCAAUUGUCAGAGGUGAAAUUCUUGGAUUUCUAGAAGACGAACUACU
rnacentral:rRNA from 1 species